UACAGAGGUCUCAAGCGUUGUUCGGAUUCAUUGGGCGUAAAGGGUGCGUAGGCGGCGCGGUAAGUCGGGUGUGAAAUCUUGGAGCUUAACUCCGAAACUGCAUUCGAUACUGCCGUGCUUGAGGACUGGAGAGGAGACUGGAAUUUACGGUGUAGCGGUGGAAAUGCGUAGAUAUCUGGAGGAACACCGGUGGCGAAGGCGGCAUCCUGGACCGGCAUUGACGCUGAGGCGCGAAAGCCAG
rnacentral:rRNA from 1 species